rnacentral:rRNA from 1 species
UACAGAGGGGGCAAGCGUUGUUCGGAAUUACUGGGCGUAAAGGGCGCGUAGGCGGCCUGUUAAGUCGGACGUGAAAUCCCCGGGCUCAACCUGGGAAUUGCGCUUGAUACUCUGAGACUGGAGUACGGGAGAGGAGAGUGGAAUUCCCAGUGUAGAGGUGGAAUUCGUAAAUAUUGGGAAGAACACCAGUGGCGAAGGCGGCUCUCUGGACCGUAACUGACGCUGAGGCGCGAAAGCGUGGGGAGCAAACAGG